rnacentral:rRNA from 1 species
GACGAACGCUGGCGGCGUGCUUAACACAUGCAAGUCGAGCGGUAAGGCCCUUUCGGGGGUACGACGAGCGGCGAACGGGUGAGUAACACGUGGGUGACCUGCCCUCAGCUCUGGGAUAAGCCUGGGAAACCGGGGUCUAAUACCGGAUAUGACUCCAUGACGCAUGUUGUGGGGUGGAAAGCCUUGUGCGGCUGAGGAUGGGCCCGCGGCCUAUCAGCUUGUUGGUGGGGUGAUGGCCUACCAAGGCGACGACGGGUAGCCGGCCUGAGAGGGCGACCGGCCACACUGGGACGUGAGACACGGCCCAGACUCCUACGGGAGGCAGCAGUGGGGAAGUCUUGCGCAAUGGGCGAAAGCCUGACGCAGCGACGCCGCGUGAGGGAUGACGGCCU